GCAAACAGCUUUUCCCGCGCAAACGCUAUCCAUUUUCACCAACUUGCUUCUGAGGAGAUUUCGCGUUUCUGGGGAUAAUAACUGCAGUUACACGAAAGAGCAAAGAAAAGUAGGACCCAUUAGAGCUGAAGCUGGACAGGCCACAGGGAUGAGAGGUGGGAGUGUUAUGAGGAGGAGAGAGCUUCAAAAGAAGCUGUAGGCAGCACCAGGUAGUACCUUUCCUCUGCUGCAUGGUGAGAUGAUUGAGGCUGAACAUGGUGAGGAACCGUUUUUUGUCCUCCAGCUCUGGGCUGUUGUCCAUCUCCUCGGGUGUGAAGCGGGUGCUGAGGGCAGCUGGCGGAGUUGGCCGCUUGUUUGCUAUGGCUGGAGGAGUGGGGCUUCGUUCCCUCAGCAUCCUCCUCCUUUUUCUCCUCUUCUGCUCCAACAGGUCAUCUCGCCGUGACACAGUGGUCAGACCAAACAUCCUCAAAAACUCCACCUUCUUUAAGGGGUUUGUGUGUGUGAGUCAGGGAGAGAAUGAAAGUAAAAAAUCAACAUUUUUUGACCUCUUUUGACAUUGCUCUUAGGGUUACUAAUUAUUGAUAGUUCAGUUAUUACGAGUGGAGUGUGCCAAGUGUUUUGAAGUGGGUGUGCAGUGUGUGCAGCAGUGCAUUACCUCUGUGGAGUCGUCCAGUUUGAGUGGAGGCUGCUCGGCUACUCUCCUCAGAUGAGCUCUCACCUCCUCUUCAUCACUCUCAUCAUAGGACUCGUCCAGCUCAUAGUAAUAACCUGCACACAACAGUGUAAUCCACAGCUCAUUUCUGAGUUCUUCUGCAGAAUUUCUCAUUGGGUAGAGGACAUCAUUUAGAGGUCCAGUUUGCUGACGGGCCGCCGAUGCUGCUGAAGGAACUCAUCAUACACCAGCACGGACUCUGGGCUCGGCCGUGGUGGCAUCUGGAGGCCCUUAUGAGCCCCACUGCUUUUCAAGCUGCUGUUGAGGUCUCCAUACUGGCUGCUGAGGCUCAGGGUUGCCCUUUGCUGGUUCAGGAAGGUCUGAGUGGACUUCUCCAGCUCGGCUAGGAAGGUGCUGGGUUCAGAAAAGCCUGUGGGACGGAUGGCUUCCUCUGCCGUGCCUGCCACCGUUCCUCCUCAUUGGCGCGCUGAAGUGCCAUGGCGGGUGUCAGAGGACCAGGGCCAGUGCCUCCAGGAACGAGACUGCAGACUGGACAGCGAGGCAUGGCUAAGGUCGCCGGGGUAACGGACUCCUGGGAUGUGCAUAUGCACAGCAGAAGGAUGAAGUGGAGGCAGACCGCCUCCUGCAGGCAAGGG